AUGAUGUGGUUUAAUCGAUGCAACGCGAAAACCUUACCACCUUUGACAUGGCAGGAAUCCUUUAGAGAUAGAGGAGUGCUCGAAAGAGAACCUGCACACAGGUGCUGCAUGGCUGUCGUCAGCUCGUGUCGUGAGAUGUUGGGUUAAGUCCCGCAACGAGCGCAACCCUUGCCAUCAGUUGCUACGAAAGGGCACUCUGAUGGGACUGCCGGUGACAAACCGGAGGAAGGUGGGGAUGACGUCAAGUCCUCAUGGCCCUUAUAGGUGGGGCUACACACGUCAUACAAUGGCCGGUACAAAGGGCAGCAAACCCGCGAGGGGGAGCCAAUCCAUCAAAGCCGGUCGUAGUCCGGAUCGCAGUCUGCAACUCGACUGCGUGAAGUCGGAAUCGCUAGUAAUCGUGGAUCAGCAUGUCACGGUGAAUACGUUCCCGGGUCUU
rnacentral:rRNA from 1 species